UUUUUUUUUUUUCCACAACAGGCUUGAAAUUGGCCUAUAAAUAGCAGUCGAGAGAGGAGAUUUUCAACUCAACCUGCCUAGUGAUAAUCCAAAAUGAAAGAAUUAUUUCUCCUAAUAUGCUUUCUCUUAGCUUCUUCUCUCUUUAUUCCCACUUCCACCACGGCUUGAGAGCUGGUCGAGAAAGGUGAGAGCAACUAGUCUUUUAUAUAUAUUUUUCCGUAAUAAAAUCAAUGAUAUUUUCAGAUUUUAUUCAAAUCAUAUGCAUAUAUAUUAUUAAAUUUUAUAACAUAUUGAACUCGAGAUUAAUUCAUUUAAUUUAUUCAACUAUUUUUAAAAAUGAUAUUCAAUAAGUUUGAGGUUUAAAUUUCAUCAUUUGUAAUUCUUUUUUUAUUCCAAAUUUACAAUUUUAUUUAAAUUUUCAGCACUUUGGUUUAACUAAUUACAUUGAAUUUAUUUAUAUGAAUGUUGUUAACAACAUGGAUAUGGCAUAUGGCUGUUGAAUUUGCAGGUUCCGUUUGGAAUAGCCCAUUUGUGCCUCGUGGCAGAGCAAUUGGUCCUGGGCAUCCUGUUCCGUGUGCUUUAAACCCUAACCAAGCUUGCACACCCCCUCCUAAGUGCAACCCAUAUGUUAGGAAGUGCAGAACUCCUCCACCUGCGCCUGCACCAUGACCGUGGUAGAAAAGCUAUGGAUGAUCUAUUUCCAUAUGUGAAAUUACAAUGGGAAUUUUAUAGCUAAUAAUAAAGUUGCCCCAAAGCAAUAACCAGAUCAUGAUCAUGAUGUUGCAGUCACCUUGAUUUGUAUUUUGAAGACUACUAUUAAAUUUGUGUAAUAAAAUAGUUCUCAAAGAGCUCGGUUCUUGAGACUUUAAUGAAUUUGGAAGCUUUUAUAUUUUAUGAGAAUUAAAAUAAAAUAAAAACGUUUACUCCUUGUUACAUAAUUCGAAAAUUCAUUGAAUUUUUGUACUCAUUUCUUUAAGACAAUUUAUUUGUAUUUAAUUAAUGACUAAAAUACUAAAAUUGCCCUUGAAUUAUUCAACUUUAUUUAAAUAAAUCCUUAUAUUUUUAUUAGACCUAAAUGAAUUAUUAUCCUUUCAUUUACAUCGAUGUAAG
rnacentral:lncRNA from 1 species